UAUCAGAUAUUCAGAUCAGUGUACUUAUUUUGUCUGAUACAUAGUAUUUGUGAAUUGUGAUUACCUGUUUCUCCACAAAUAUAGAAUUUACAAGAUUGUCCUGGAUGACAUCUCUCAUUAGUGUUGUUCAAACUCACUCGUGUAGAACUUCCCUUCUCAUAUGAAAAUGAAAUAGUGAUCAAGUAGAAACAGUAAAGACGUGUUCUCUUUGCGUCCAUUUCUGGAUGUUUAGUAUUUGCCUGAGUAGAACUACCUCCACGGCUCUACCUGAUCUGUGAAGGAAGAGGGUCUGUAUGACUGUCCAUCUUCAGGGAUUACUAGUUCUGAAUGUACAGGGCAGAUCAUUAGCUAUUUUCAUAUAUAUAGUAUAGAAUAAUAGAUAUACAUUAUGGAGCAUGAGAAUGUAUAAAUUGAAAUGUAGCACUGUCCUCAUUUUCAAUUGUUAACCAGAUUCAUGAAUGGAUAUCAUAUAUAACAGAGGUAGGAUGUGUGACAGAUAUACUGGGGACAUGGAAUAUAUGGCAUUGAAUCAGCAUCCAAAUUUUAUUUUGGGAAGCACCCAUCUCUUCUAAGUUUGGGGGAGUCUGCAUUCCUUGCUGGACUAAUACCUGCCCCAGAACUUCGAUCACCACUCAGGGAUGCUUCUAGGGGAAAAACGUUCCAAGCCAGAGUUUUGAAGAGGAUGGUGGAAGUAGGCUUUCUUGACAUUCGAACAGCACUUUUAGUCGUGAAAUGUUUAAGGAAAAAGAGAUUCGAGAGAAAUUGUAGAGAGAAUUGUCAAUCAUAUUAUUGAGAUAUAGGGAUUACAAAGUAUAUAUUCUAAUGUUACAAGGAAUAGUAUUCCAUCUAUGAUUAGGAAUUCUAGAACCUUCUCUCCUAUUGCUACUCCUAGUUUGAUAAGGCACACUAAGUCGAUUUUCCUUCAACAUGAAACAAUUUCUUCCUCUGCAGGUUAAUGACGCAGAAGCAAAUAUUACCUUGCUGCCAGCAGGAGGUACAGAUUCUAUCUUCAAGGAUAUAUGGGACUGGGAAUCAGAAAGCAGAGUAUGGGAAGCAUGUGAGGACAUGGAAAGAUGGGCUACUGAGGUUCGCCAAAGGACUUCUGCAAAGCGUUAAUAAGCCUUCUUGUUGUAAGGACUGGUGUGACUUGUAAGUUGAUUUUGCUCGUCCACAAGCUCCGUCAGAGGCCCAAUCACAGCCUCAUGUGGUGGCGCAAUGAACACAGCCCAUGACAUGCGCAACCGUUCCUUGUUCACCAAGCUCCUGUGAAGAACACUCUUGUACUUACCAUUGCUC